rnacentral:rRNA from 1 species
GAUGAACGCUGGCGGCGUGCCUAAUACAUGCAAGUCGAGCGAACGGACGAGAAGCUUGCUUCUCUGAUGUUAGCGGCGGACGGGUGAGUAACACGUGGAUAACCUACCUAUAAGACUGGGAUAACUUCGGGAAACCGGAGCUAAUACCGGAUAAUAUUUUGAACCGCAUGGUUCAAAAGUGAAAGACGGUCUUGCUGUCACUUAUAGAUGGAUCCGCGCUGCAUUAGCUAGUUGGUAAGGUAACGGCUUACCAAGGCAACGAUGCAUAGCCGACCUGAGAGGGUGAUCGGCCACACUGGCACUGAGACACGGUCCAGACUCCUACGGGAGGCAGCAGUAGGGAAUCUUCCGCAAUGGGCGAAAGCCUGACGGAGCAACGCCGCGUGAGUGAUGAAGGGCUUCGGAUCGUAAAACUCUGUUAUUAGGGAAGAACAUAUGUGUAAGUAACUGUGCACAUCUUGACGGUACCUAAUCAGAAAGCCACGGCUAACUACGUGC